UGGGACACAGGCAAGCUCACAGGCACACACGAAGCACAGUGAACUUUGUCACAUGGGUGAGCACAGGAGCUGGGGUGAGAAGUGUGAGGAGGGAAGAGGUACCAAGCGAGACUAGUUGGGAGGGACGUGAGCGGAUACUGCACCCAGAGGAAACAGAAAGAGGGCACUUCAGCCAGAGAAGGGGGUGCUGGUGCAGACGGCGCUCCAAGCAGAGGCAUCAGCAUGUGCAAAGGCGCAGGGAUUAGGAGGAAGGAGAGAGAGACAGGGCACAUAGUGCAUCUGGUGAACUAAAACAAGUUCAGUGUGUGUUAGAGUAGAGUUGGGGGAUGGGGGCAAAAGAGGGGUGGAGUGGUGACAGACUGUGGCCAUAUGACAGAGCGGACCUAGCAGACCAUGUCAAGGAGUUUGAACUUUAUCCUGAGGGCAAAGGGGAGCCAGUGAAGGGUUUUAAGGGAAAGAGUGACACGGACUGCUUAGUAGUUUGCAGAGAUGCCUCCAGCUGUGCGUAGGUCUGAAAGGAGGAGAGACAGACAGAAGGCUGGAACGAUACCCCAGAGCAGCCGCGGUGGUGAGAGCUGGCAUGUGCUCAGCGAGUUUGCCCUGAAGGGCUCAACACACAGGCGCUGUCAGGAAAGAGCUGGUGUCAAGAGAACAAACCAGAUCACAAGGGAGUAGCAGGACAGUUAAGCCAGUGGUUCUCAACAUGGGGCAACUUUGCCCCCCUGGGGACAUUUGGCCCUGUGCUGGAGACAUUUUUGGUUGUCACGCCUGGUGGCGGGACUGCUACUGGCAUCUAGCGGGGAGAGGAUGGAGACGGUGCUAAACAUCCUGCCACAGCCGGGACAGUCCCGCCGCAACAGAAUUUUCCAGCCCCAAAUGUCAGCAGUGCUGAGACUGAGAAACCCCGACUUAAGCCUUUGGGACUCCAGUUGCUGCCUGAGCCGAGUGGGACAGUUCACGGCUGGGCGUCCUGGACUCCCGCUGCCCUUUCUGCGCCGUGGUGUGGUCUGCCAGUUUCCACCCUGCUGCUCAACUCCUCUUACUGGCACAGAGAUGAAAAGACCCGGACUCUGUUCUCAAGCCACCCCCAGCGCAGUGGAGAGAGACCGUGGGUUGCCUUAAAUGCUGACGUCGGUGUUAAGAUUCGUGUCUGGCGCUCUCCUCUUUUACUGGCCUUCUCGGGCACUGGAACUGAUAGCUUCCUAUGGAUUUCAGCCCUCAAGCUUUCAUGGGAAAGGGGCUCCACAGCUGAGACGGUAGGAGAGCCCGAAGGCUGAGGUUCUAACUUCCGCCUCUCUGAAGCAGGCUGCAAGCGCCAGGAUGGCUUUGUGGGGGAUCCACAGGGCAGGGAUGGCUGGGAGGGGAGUGCCUGUGGGGGGCAGGGCCCAGCAGGUAGGUGGCUGCCACAGCCACUCUGCAAAGGCGUGCCUCCAUUUACAAAGGGCCCUUUCAUCCGCUGGCGGCUCCUCAGCACACGUGUCCCCACGGCCUGCUCUGGGCCAGGUUGCCGUGGCGCCACGUGCAUCCAAUAAUCACAAAGUUGCGAGGUGUCAUGAGAGCAGAUGGUCUGGGGACCCUCUCUGGUCUCAGCCCCACCUCCCAGCUACCCAAACUGGCCACUUCCCACUGCCUCCACUCCCCGCUCCCAGCCAGCCCUGGUCUCCACUGUUCUGCAGCCCACGGUUGCCACCUCGCUGGUCGCCCGUCCCACUCGGGCCCCUAAGUCCCCUCUCCACUGCGCUUUUGUGAAACACAAAGCAGAAGAUGCUCACUCCUAGCCCUACCCCCGCCCUGCCCCCAGCCGGAAAGUUAUCCCCGUGCCCUUAGAGUAACAUCCAAAUGCCUUCUUCCCACGGCUCCCAGACGCCGCCCAGCAGCCCCGACGGCCUCCACGGCCCUAACGCCAGCCACGCUGGUCCAGCCCCAGGGCCUUUGCUCCCGCCGUGCCCUCUGCCCGGACUCUCCUCCCGCAUCUUCAAAACAGCGGCUGCUGCUCAUGACUCAGAUGUCCCCACAAAUGUCACCUACUCCUGAGAAACAGGCGACACAGGGGCCUCUUGGGAGGAAGACUGCCAAGCGGGGGCCAAGGGCACGGCAGGGAGAAGCGCUCUGCGUGGCUUGUGCACUGCUUGCGCUUCGCACACACUCAAACAAAUUCUAAUUAAAACAAAAGUGUCUCUUUGGAGAGGCCUUUCCAGGGCGCGACCUCCCCAGUUACUUCCUCUUAGGGUGCUAGAAUUUCCCCUCAUGAAGUGUUUAUGACAGUCUGUAAUUGCCUUGUUUGUUUAAGGGCUUCUUUCUUUUUUUAGUUUAUUGUCUGUGUCCCCUUCGUGAGGACAGGGACUCUGCCUGUCUUCUCCACCCCGAGGCACAUAGUAGGUGCUCAAGAAAUAUUUAUUGAAUAGGUGGAAACAGACGGGAGGGCAGGAAGGAAGCAUGUCUGAGUUGACCCUCGGGAGUUAACAGGGCGAAGCUGGGGUCGCAGGGCUGGGCUCGGUUCCAAGCAGAGGGAGUGGGUGGCAGUUUGAAGACCUGGAUGAAGAAGGCUAAUGGCACUCCACGUGAGAGAGCCGGGGGUGUGAGGCAGGCGGGAUUAUGUCCAUUUUACAGAGGAGGCAUCUGAGGCUCAGAGAUGGCAAGGGACUUGCCCAAGUCGCCCAGUGGGACAGGGUGUGAGUUUAGAAUCCAGGUUCCAACUCAAGAUUAAACAGAACCUCACUUACUGAGCACCUACAUGUAUUAUUAACUCAUGAGGUGAGUACUAUCAUUCCUUCCUCAUUUGACGGAUGAAGAAACCGAUGCACAGGCAGGUUGAGUGACCUGCCCAAGGUCACACAGCUAGGAAGUAGCCAAGCCUUGGCUACUUUCCCUGGCUCCCCAUGGCUACUCUCCACCACCCAGCUCUCAGCCUAGAGCCGAGUCAUGACCCUCUCUGGAGGUCUGGGCAAAGCCAGGAAAUCCAUGAAACCCUCCAAGACCUGGGUUCCCCUAACUCCAAACCGAAAGAGCAAAACCAGCUCUGCUCGAAAGUCUUCUAUGAGAAAAAAGUGAUAAAAAAAAAAAAUUAUAGGACUUGUGAUAAAAAUAAUUGCAGGGCUCCUGGCAAACAGCCCAGCUGUAGAGAUACUAACUAAUGAUAGGAAUUUAUGACCCCUGGGCCCAGCCUUUUACAGGCUCCAGUGAUAGGAGCGGGGUCAUGAGUAGGGUCACAGGCAACUCCCAGCAGCCCCUUGUGGUGAGGACACUGAGCCUCUCUCCUACUGGCCACUGACUUCAGGGGCUCUCGGAAGGCCACUCCCCCAGCCCGCGGGCCACCUCAGUCAUCCAUUGGGUUGGCCCUGGUGUCUCUGGCUGCUGGCCUCUCUAAAAACCUUAACCAAGUAGCACUCCACAAUGACUUAGCCCAUUCAUCCAUUCUCAGGGCCCCAGGGAAGGCAGGGAGCAGAUUUUGGUGGUGGACCAAGACCCAGAAGGGGACAGUAAUUCAUUCUUCCUGUAACCAACAGGUAUUUACCAAGGGCUGCUCUGUGCCAGGGCCCUUGCUGGGAAGAUGUUAGUGACUGGGACACCAGUGGCUGGCCCAGGGUCACAGAGGGCUCUAGGGUGGGGGGAAGUCAGGGUUGAACCCUGGGUCCCCAACUCCAAGGAUAGUGGUCCCACCACCACAAACAAGACUGGGAACCUCUUGUCCCUUUGGCCAAAUUGCUCCCUCUUAGGAUGCCAGCCCUCCCUGCAGGUAGGUGUUCACAGCUAAUUCGUGAAGACAUCAGAAAUGCACGUUAAACUGGGUGUGGUGCACCUGUAGUCCCAGCUACUCAGGAGGCUGAGGCAGGAGGGUCACUUGAGUCCCAGUUGGAGGCUGCA